AAACCAUGGCAUUGGCUGCAAAAACAUGGCUUACUACGUAUCUUUUCUUUUUGAGGAAAUCUGCAGAGAGAGUCUGGAAAAUGUGCGGGACAAUGAAUAAUAGAAUCUCUGAAACCAGGGAGUCAACCAAGAACGACCUUGUAAGAUCUGAAAGCUUAAAAGAUAAUCUGACUUUGGAAAUUUCAUCAUGCAGAAGGAGGAGGAAGAGGGAUCGGUAAGCUACAACACGUACAAGAAUUCCAUCUAAGACUACCAGAGCUGCCAUAGAGAAAAUACUUUGACGACUUGCCAUCCUAACAUGCCAGCUAAAGGUUAUAUGACAAUAAUGAUAAUAGACUAGACUGUUGUUAGCUUAACACAUUUCACAAAAUACAGAACAUUUCACACUAACUUUGCGAUGUCAUCUUUUCUUUUUUUCCUUUAAUGGAUAUCUCGAAAGUGAAAUGGUAUUGGAAAGCAAAAGCCGGCAUAAACCAAAUGCUCCUUUUGUCAUGCUGCGUGUUCAGAUGUUCUGACAUUAUCUCCUUUGAGCAAGAUCAAGGAAGGUAACGGAUCGGGCAUCCGUCUGAUUCUCUUUUCCUGGAGCUCCUGAAAACACACUGCCAACCAAUCUGAAUGUGUUAGAGAUUAUUCCAUAUUUUUUAUUUUAAAAACUUAAGUAAGUCCAUCAAUAGCCAUACUAAAACACACACUCACUAGGAUAAAAAACGUACUGUGCUUUCCCCCCCCCCUUUUAAAAUAAAAAAUCUACUAGGUUAAAAUUACA
rnacentral:lncRNA from 1 species